rnacentral:rRNA from 1 species
UACGGGGGGAGCAAGCGUUGUUCGGAUUUACUGGGCGUAAAGGGCGCGUAGGCGGCCAUGUAAGUCAGGAGUGAAAGUUUGCGGCUCAACCGUAAAAUUGCUUUUGAUACUGCAUGGCUGGGAUCAGGAUGAGGUCAGCGGAAUGUGGCAUGUAGCGGUGAAAUGCAUAGAUAUGCCAUAGAACACCAAUUGCGAAGGCAGCUGGCUAGACCUGGAUUGACGCUGAGGCACGAAAGCGUGGGGAGCGAACAGG